CUGCCGUGACUGAGCCCCGGGAUGAAGACAGGCAGCUGCUCCCAACCCCAGCAACUUUGCUAUCUUAGAACGGAUCACCAGUGAAAGAGGGGAAGUUGCUACUGUGAUGAAUUCUGCCAUGUGGUACCAGACUGCUGCCCAGACCACAGUGUCCUCUGCAACCCUGCUUCUCAGAUGACCAAGAUGGUGCUGCCGAUGGUGUUGAGGACGGAGAACCCACCAAGCCCCGUUAGGAGCCACCUAGACUGGAUGCAGAGCACAAUUUGAAGAUUGUACCAGGAGAGCCGCAGUGUUCCAGAGCUACCGAGGGACUGGGUCGGGCUUUGCUGUAUUUGAGAAGACCCCCCUGGACCCGAGAGGCUGUGGGCUUGGGGAGCAUGAGGAGGUUUCACAGCAGAAAGGACACCCCGGGGCUACCGGACAAGCCGGAAAAUGUGCCAGGGGAAGUCAGGCUCCAAGGGCACCACUCUGGGCUUCUAGCUGUGUGGGCUGGACCAAGAAGG
rnacentral:lncRNA from 1 species